rnacentral:rRNA from 1 species
CAAUAGCGUAUAUUAAAGUUGUUGCAGUUAAAAGGCUCGUAGUUGAAUUUUUGCUUGCCGCCGAUGUCGGAACUUCCGUACGUUCGGCGGCGUGCAUCCUUGGGUGGAACCUGUGUGGCAUUAGGUUGUCGUGCAGGGGAUGCUCAUCGUUUACUGUGAAAAAAUUAGAGUGUUCAAAGCAGGCUUACGCCGUUGAAUAUAUUAGCAUGGAAUAAUAAGAUAGGACCUUGGUACUAUUUUGUUGGUUUGCGCACCGAGGUAAUGAUUAACAGGGACAGUUGGGGGUAUUCGUAUUCCAUUGUCAGAGGUGAAAUUCUUGGAUUUCUGGAAGACGAACUACUGCGAAAGCAUUUACCAAGGAUGUUUUCAUUAA